rnacentral:lncRNA from 1 species
CACCAGAUCAAAUAAAUAUAUAUCUCUCAAAAUUUUAAAAUAUUUUAUAUUAUAUUUUUUUUAUUUCAAAUAAUAAUUUUUUUGGUAUCUUUCUCCGUUAUUUAAAAAUAAAAUACUGCCUGUUCUAAUAACCAUUAAGUCAUCUUGUAUUAAAUCCGAAUUAAAUUUCUAACCGAGUUAAAAAAAGUUCAAUACUUUCUUUAUCCUAAUUAAGUGUAAAUAAGAAAAAUUAAUAAUGGCAGAAGGAUAAAUUUGAAAGAGCAAAAUAUCAAAACGCUUCUUUUGUCUUCAAUUUAAGGAUAAAUAAGAAAAAGUUGGUGACAGUAGAAUAGUAUAUUUAAAAGUACAAAAUAGUAAUUUUACAGAGAUAAUGGUUUGUCAUUAAUAAAAUUUAACUCUAAAGGGUGCGUUUGGUUCGAAUUAUGUAAUAUUAUAGAGGUAUUUCGAUAUAUUCAGAUAUUUUGGAUUUCUAAAUAACAUUACUAUAAAUACUGCAUUAGCGCCAUUUGGUUUAAUACAGUAAUAUAAUGCUGAAUUACAGUCUUUAUACCAUUAUUAUGUUUGGUUCACUCUGUAAAAUUUUUUACAAUAAAGUAUAGUCUAUUCUAAAAUUGCCCUUAGCCACAUUUGGCAAACCUUUUUUUUCACUCUUUACGAAUAAUAUAUUUUUUCUACUAAUUUUCUUUUAAAUAAUUUAAAAUUUAAAAUUUUAAAAUUUAAACAAAAAUAUAAAACUUUAUAUUUUUAAUUUAAAAUAUAAAUAUAAAAUUUAUAAAUUUAAAAUCUAAAAUAUAAAUGUGAAUUAAAAUUAAAUUUAUGUUCUAAAUUUAAAAUUUAAAUAUAAAAUUUAAAAUUUGAGAUUUAAAAUUUGAGAUUUAAAUUUAAAAUUUAAAAUUUCAAGUUUAAAAUAUAGAAAUAUAAAAUAUAAAAUAUAAAAUAUAAAAUAUAAAAUUUGAGAUUUAAGAUUCAAAAUUUAAAAUUUAAAAUUUAAAAUUUAAUUUUAAAAUUUAAAUUUAAAUUAAAUUUUAAAUUUUAAAUUUAAAUUUAAAUUUUAAAUUUUAAAUUUGAAAUUGAUGUUUAAAAAUUUAAAUUUAAAAUUCAAAGUUUUAAAUUUAUAAAUUUAAAAUUAAAAUUUAAAAUUCAAAAUUUAAAAUUUAAAAUUUAAAAUUUAAAAUUGACAAUUCAAAACUUAAAAAUUGAAAUUGUAGUUCAAAAUUUAAAUUUUGAAAUUUUAGUUUUAAAUUUAAAUUUUAAAAUUCAAUUUAAAAAUUUAAUUUAAAAUUUAAAAAUUUAAUUUAAAAUUUAAAAUUUAAAUUUAAAUUAAAUUUUAAAAUUAAAACUUAAAAAUAAAAUUUUAAAUUUUAAAUUUUUAAUUUUGAUUUUGAAAUUUGAAGUUUAAAAUUUAAAUUUGAAAAUUUAAAAUUUAAAAUUUAAAAUUUAAAAUUAAAAUUAAAAUUUUAAAAUUUGAAAGUUGACAAUUCUAAAUUUUAAGUUAAAUUUUUUAAAAUGAUGUAUUGAAAGGGUUUCAGGAGUUGAAGAGGUAAGCUUGUAAUUUUAUAUAACAUGCAAUAUUAGCCGCUUUCAGCAAGUCAAGAUACACGCCCCCCCCUUCUCGGUAAUAUUUUUGGUGUAACCUUACACCUUUUGUAAUGCUACAAUACCGAACAAAUUACAUACUGGAUGAACUAAAUGCAGUAAUCUUUGUAGGAUUGCCUGUAAUCCUGUCAGGAUAAUCCGAGCCAAACGCACCCCCUAUGGGUAUAUUUGAAAAAAACUUAGAAUGUUAAAAGAGUUUUUUAUUUCUAUUUUUAUAUAUUAGCCUUCUAAAGAGAUAUGUAGGAAAGUCUAGUAAAAUUUCAGGUGUUUAUAAGCAAUUGCUUCAUAAAGAUAUAUAUGGAGAGAGAAAACGCUGUCAAACUACCAUUUUGUUCAUAUUUUUUUAGAAAUAAAUGUAAUUAAAAAUGUGAAGUAAUUUAACUUCAAAUUUAGGGCCUAAAGUAU